GUGAGGAAUAUUGGACAAUGGGCGCAAGCCUGAUCCAGCCAUGCCGCGUGCAGGAAGACGCAUCUAUGGUGUGUAAACUGCUUUUGUACGGGAAGAAACACUCCCUCGUGAGGGAGCUUGACGGUACCGUAAGAAUAAGGAUCGGCUAACUCCGUGCCAGCAGCCGCGGUAAUACGGAGGAUCCAAGCGUUAUCCGGAAUCAUUGGGUUUAAAGGGUCCGUAGGCGGUUUAAUAAGUCAGUGGUGGAAGCCCAUCGCUCAACGAUGGAACGGCCAUUGAUACUGUUAGACUUGAAUUACAAGGAAGUAACUAGAAUAUGUAGUGUAGCGGUGAAAUGCUUAGAUAUUACAUGGAAUACCAAUUGCGAAGGCAGGUUACUACUUGUGGAUUGACGCUGAUGGACGAAAGCGUGGGGAGCGAACAGGAUUAGAUACCCUGGUAGUCC
rnacentral:rRNA from 1 species